rnacentral:rRNA from 1 species
AGAGUUUGAUCGUGGCUCAGGAUGAACGCUGGCGGCGUGCCUAACACAUGCAAGUCGAGCGAUCUCUUCGGAGAGAGCGGCGGACGGGUGAGUAACGCGUGGGUAACCUGCCCUGUACACACGGAUAACAUACCGAAAGGUAUACUAAUACGGGAUAACAUANGAAAGUCGCAUGGCUUUUGUAUCAAAGCUCCGGCGGUACAGGAUGGACCCGCGUCUGAUUAGCUAGUUGGUAAGGUAAUGGCUUACCAAGGCAACGAUCAGUAGCCGACCUGAGAGGGUGAUCGGCCACACUGGAACUGAGACACGGUCCAGACUCCUACGGGAGGCAGCAGUGGGGAAUAUUGCACAAAUGGGCGAAAGCCUGAUGCAGCAACGCCGCGUGAGCGAUGAAGGCCUUCGGGUCGUAAAGCUCUGUCCUCAAGGAAGAUAAUGACGGUACUUGAGGAGGAAGCCCCGGCUAACUACGUGCCAGCAGCCGCGGUAAUACGUAGGGGGCUAGCGUUAUCCGGAAUUACUGGGCGUAAAGGGUGCGUAGGUGGUUUUUUAAUUCAAAAGUGAAAGGCUACGGCUCACCCGUAGUAAGCUUUUGAAACUAGAGAACUUGAGUGCAGGAGAGGAGAGUAGAAUUCCUAGUGUAGCGGUGAAAUGCGUGGAUUUUAGGGGGAAUACCAGUAGCGAAGGGGGCUUUUUGGACUGUAACUGACACUGAGGCACGAAAGCGUGGGGAGCAAACAGGAUUAGAUACCCUGGUAGUCCACGCCGUAAACGAUGAGUACUAGGUGUCGGGGGUUACCCCCCUCGGUGCCGCAGCUAACGCAUUAAGUACUCCGCCUGGGAAGUACGCUCGCAAGAGUGAAACUCAAAGGAAUUGACGGGGACCCCACAAGUAGCGGAGCAUGUGGUUUAAUUCGAAGCAACGCGAAGAACCUUACCUAAGCUUGACAUCCCACUGACCUCUCCCUAAUCGGAGAUUUCCCUUCGGGGACAGUGGUGACAGGUGGUGCAUGGUUGUCGUCAGCUCGUGUCGUGAGAUGUUGGGUUAAGUCCCGCAACGAGCGCAACCCUUGCCUUUAGUUGCCAGCAUUAAGUUGGGCACUCUAGAGGGACUGCCGAGGAUAACUCGGAGGAAGGUGGGGAUGACGUCAAAUCAUCAUGCCCCUUAUGCUUAGGGCUACACACGUGCUACAAUGGGUGGUACAGAGGGUUGCCAAGCCGCGAGGUGGAGCUAAUCCCUUAAAGCCAUUCUCAGUUCGGAUUGUAGGCUGAAACUCGCCUACAUGAAGCUGGAGUUACUAGUAAUCGCAGAUCAGAAUGCUGCGGUGAAUGCGUUCCCGGGUCUUGUACACACCGCCCGUCACACCAUGGAAGUUGGGGGCGCCCGAAGCCGGUUAGCUAACCUUUUAGGAAGCGGCCGUCGAAGGUGAAACCAAUGACUGGGGUGAAGUCGUAACAAGGUA